rnacentral:RNase_P_RNA from 1 species
AUAGCUCGAAAGCUGCAUUUGCUCGCCACGUACUCGCCGAUUGUCUCGGCUUCUCGCGAGCGGGCUAAGGUCUGAGCGUUCUAGUCCCCUUGUACCUGUGUCUAGCUGGCACCGACCGUAACAGGUCGAGCAGAGCAUCAGACAUGCGCUCGCUGUAGCUCGUAUCGCCCAGAGAUCCGCAAGGGGGGAGGGCAUAGCGCAGGUCGAGCUUGGAACCACUCUGCGGGGACCGAGCUGUUUCGUUAGCUUGUCCCUUUGUAACCUCUUUCACACCUAACGCACUAGUGUCGAGAACUAAUGCCCAACUUGCAUCGGGAAGUUGAGAUCAUGCGCCGUAAUCGCCGCUGUCGAGCGGUGUAUGGCCUGGAAGCCGCCUGGAUAGCUUCUAGGCUGACCGGACCGAGGAAGAAUAAGUGGCGCACUACCUGUUCUUGCUCCCCUCUCUCUGCGCUAGCGCCGCUGCGUCCCGCGGAGGUGAGAGGCCACGCUUGGUGGUCCGGUUGGUUUUGGUGAUCGAGGAGGUUGGGAUGAGUCCGAGCGGCUCUUUAGUUCACUUUGCGGCUCGCUUAUAUUCGCUUUUGGCGAUUUGCGAAACUCGAUUCAGACUACUCUUGGGCUGU